UACGGAGGGUGCGAGCGUUGUCCGGAAUCACUGGGCGUAAAGGGCGCGUAGGCGGCCUGAUAAGUAGGGGGUGAAAUCCUGCGGCUUAACCGCAGGGCUGCCUUCUAAACUGUCGGGCUAGAGCACGGUAGAGGCAGAUGGAAUUCCCGGUGUAGCGGUGGAAUGCGUAGAGAUCGGGAAGAACAUCAGUGGCGAAGGCGGUCUGCUGGGCCGCAACUGACACUCAGGGACGAAAGCUAGGGGAGCGAAUGGG
rnacentral:rRNA from 1 species